UANACCACUUUUGCCCGGGACGAAAGGGGGGACCUGAAUAAGGUUGCCCGAUGACGGUACCNGGAGAAUAAGCCACGGCUAACUCUGUGCCAGCAGCCGCGGUAANACAGAGGUGGCAAGCGUUGUUCGGAGUUACUGGGCGUAAAGAGUCUGUAGGUGGUCUGUCAAGUCUUUGGUGAAAGGCCGUGGCUUAACCAUGGNAAUGCCAAAGANACUGGCAGACUGGAGGCUGGGAGAGGGAAGCGGAAUUUCUGGUGUAGCGGUGAAAUGCGUAGAUAUCAGAAGGAAGGCCGGUGGCGAAGGCGGCUUCCUGGAACAGACCUGACACUGAGAGACGAAAGCGUGGGGAGCAAACAGGAUUAGAUACCCUGGUAGUCCACGCCCUAAACGAUGGGUACUAAGUGUGGGAG
rnacentral:rRNA from 1 species